UAAUAUUAUAAGGAGAGGUCAUGUGAUGAUCUGAGAGUGGAAUGUUAUUCCUUAUCCUCAUAACCUGAUUUGGAUAAUGCCAACGUAGGGAGACGCAGCAUACAUAUG
rnacentral:ncRNA from 2 species